CUCUGGACACAGGCCUUUUCCUGUGCCAUCACCACACAAUAAGGUACAUCUUUUGGUGGGACAGGCAUCCUUGCUUUGUUCCAGCUUUUUUUUUACAUACCUCACAGAUCUACCUGUGCCUGAAGCAGAUCUGCUCAACUGACAAGUAAGAGGCAGCGUCAGAGCUCUUGAUACAUCAAGUGAACAUCUGCAGCAUAGGAUUGAGAGAUAUCUGUGUCUUGACUGCGCUGCUUUAGGUAACCUGCUGUUUUUGCUCUUCUGUGUCUGGAGGGGAGGGCUGCUGAAGACCCUAGUCUCUUCCAGGUGCAUCUCAGUGACACAAGAAAUGGAAUUUUGCAAACCUUCAGGAAACUUAACGGCAAGUGAACUUCACACUCCACAAUUCAGUGAUCUUUUUCAGUACAAUCCUUUUGUGCUGGCCUCUCCAUUUCCGUUUGCUUGAUCUCUUCACAGUUCUGUCCAAGAGCCCACCACCUUCAGGGGAAGCCAACCCCUCCUGCAGAAGUCAGGUUGGUAAGAACAUUUCUCUGGAAUUGGCGGGAAUAGGCUGGGGACAAGCUAAUGAGUCCAGAUUGCUUUUCACAGACCAGCAGAAGGAACUUCCAGGCCCAUGAAUUCACACUUCAGAGGGACAAACAAAAAGCUUUCUCAGAAAAUCAAGCAUGUGUGAAAGGUCACAGCCAUGCCAUACACGCGAAGCACAUUUAAAGCACACGGUCACACACCCAGAAUCAUAGGAACUACAGUUUACCCCUCAGUUUCUGCGGACAGCUUGUAAAGACUUUUCCUUUCCCUGACCCAUAAAAUUGGACCUAGUCCUUUGUGCUUGAAUCUCCUCCAUUUUUAUCUGCUCUUACAUAUUUUUAUGCUGUUGUUUUAUGGAAUGCCAAAUGAUACUGUUUUGGUAAAAUAUGCAGGGAUAUCUGAUAUGUAAAAUGAACCAUGGAAAGAGAAGUCAAAGAUAUCUUAAGGAUGUAAAAGUGAGUGCUUUAAAUGGUAAAACAGAAAAGUCAAUAAAAAUUAUAUACCCCCCCCCCAAAAUGGUUUUAAAAGAAAUGACACGAGAAGACGGGUCUAGUGAGCUGCAUCCCCUAGGAUCCUCGUUUAUUAAACCCAAGACAGUACAAAGUUA